GACGAACGCUGGCGGCGUGCCUAAUACAUGCAAGUAGAACGCUGAAGGAGGAGCUUGCUCUUCUGGAUGAGUUGCGAAAGGGUGAGUAACGCGUAGGUAACCUGCCUGGUAGCGGGGGAUAACUCUUGGAAACGAUAGCUAAUACCGCAUAUGAGUAGAUGUUGCAUGACAUUUGCUUAAAAGGUGCAAUUGCAUCACUACCAGAUGGACCUGCGUUGUAUUAGCUAGUUGGUGGGGUAACGGCUCACCAAGGCGACGAUACAUAGCCGACCUGAGAGGGUGAUCGGCCACACUGGGACUGAGACACGGCCCAGACUCCUACGGGAGGCAGCAGUAGGGAAUCUUCGGCAAUGGACGGAAGUCUGACCGAGCAACGCCGCGUGAGUGAAGAAGGUUUUCGGAUCGUAAAGCUCUGUUGUAAGAGAAGAACGAGGGUGAGAGUGGAAAGUUCACACUGUGACGGUAUCUAACCAGAAAGGGACGGCUAACUACGUG
rnacentral:rRNA from 1 species